rnacentral:tRNA from 1 species
GAUCCGUUAGCUCAGCUGGGAGAGCGCCACCUUGACAGGGUGGAGGUCAUUGGUUCGAUCCCAAUACGGGUCACCA